rnacentral:tRNA from 1 species
GUCAGGAUGGCCGAGCGGUCUAAGGCGCUGCGUUCAGGUCGCGGUCUCCCAUGGAGACGUGGGUUCGAAUCCCACUUCUGACA